rnacentral:rRNA from 1 species
UUACCUGCAGUCGAGCGCCCCGCAAGGGGAGCGGCAGACGGGUGAGUAACGCGUGGGAAUCUACCUUUUGCUACGGAAUAACGCAGGGAAACUUGUGCUAAUACCGUAUGUGUCCUUUUGGAGAAAGAUUUAUCGGCAAGAGAUGAGCCCGCGUUGGAUUAGCUAGUUGGUGGGGUAAAGGCCUACCAAGGCGACGAUCCAUAGCUGGUCUGAGAGGAUGAUCAGCCACAUUGGGACUGAGACACGGCCCAAACUCCUACGGGAGGCAGCAGUGGGGAAUAUUGGACAAUGGGCGCAAGCCUGAUCCAGCCAUGCCGCGUGAGUGAUGAAGGCCCUAGGGUUGUAAAGCUCUUUCACCGGAGAAGAUAAUGACGGUAUCCGGAGAAGAAGCCCCGGCUAACUUCGUGCCAGCAGCCGCGGUAAUACCAAGGGGGCUAGCGUUGUUCGGAAUCACUGGGCGUAAAGCGCACGUAGGCGGAUCGAUCGCUCAGGGGUGAAAUCCCUAAACUCAACCCUGGA